rnacentral:misc_RNA from 1 species
GAUGAAGAACGUAGCGAAAUGCGAUAAGUAAUGUGAAUUGCAGAAUUCAGUGAAUCAUCGAAUCUUUGAACGCACAUUGCGCCCGCUGGUAUUCCGGCGGGCAUGCCUGUUCGAGCGUCAUUUCAACCCUCAAGCCCCCGGGUUUGGUGUUGGGGAUCGGCUCUGCCUUACGGCGGUGCCGCCCCCGAAAUACAUUGGCGGUCUCGCUGCAGCCUCCAUUGCGUAGUAGCUAACACCUCGCAACUGGAACGCGGCGCGGCCAUGCCGUAAAACCCCAACUUCUGAAUGUUGACCUCGGAUCAGGUAGGAAUACCCGCUGAACUUAAGCAUAUCAAUAAGCGGAGGA